AUUCAGCUGCGCUUUUUUAAAUUUUCUUCUAGCUUUAAAAUAUGCAUAGGAUCCUCAUUAGAUAAAGCCUUCUGAAUACCUUCAAUGUGCACCCAUAGCUCUGAUUUUUUCCGAAUUAUGUUAUGGAAUUUUUCUUUAUUCCAGACAGCGAGCUCCUUGGCAAAAGUCUUCAAAUAGGGGAUUAAAGGCUCACUGUUCUUCUAGCUUGAAGACACAAAAUUCAUAAGUAAAUCGUGUUAAUCCACGCCGCUCAAAAUCUAAAGGGUUUAAUUCCAUAGGAAUUGGUGUAAACACAUUAGUAUUAAUCAACACCGGGAAAUGACCGGAGGUGAUCUUUGGAAGAUUACGCACCGCGCCUUUUUCAAAUCGUAAUCUCCAAUAUUCUCCAAAUAUCUCCACAAUUCUUUUCUAAAAGUUGAAUUGGGGCUUGCAUAAAUGGCAGAAAACAUCCAGGGUUCCUCCUCCUUUUUCUUGAUUUCCACAGUAAUAUAUCGAGUGUGAUUGUCUAGAAUCGUGACUUGAACAAUUUUCUCUCUCCGAAGUAGCCAAAUUCCACCACGAAAUCCUUGAGCAUCUACUCUCAAUUGGCCUGGAAAACCAAUUCUGUCACAUAAUUUUUGCGCUUGAUCUCCACUUAUAUGAGUUUCAACCAAAAGCUAAAAUCAUUGGGUCAUAUAUCUAAUUAGCUCGCAAAUUGUGACUAAUUUAUUUCCUACCCUUUGAACAUUCCAAACCAUGAUUUUUUAAUGACAUAUUAAACAUUGAGAAGUUUGGGUACCGGUCAUAAAUAUUCAAAGGAAUAUUAGGUACAAAAUUCAUGAACGCUUCUCUCAACGCUCUCAUCGAUCCCGCUAUGCCUAUUGGGAGUCCUAUUGUCACCAACAUUUCUGGAAGAUUGUGUUGCGGUGGCAGACACGUGCUCACUUGGAGUUCGACUCUGUUCAAUACGGGGUGAAUUUUGGCCACUGUUGGACCAUCAAUCGGGUAGUCCAUUAAUGCUUCAUAUGAAGGGGGAACUCGAGUUACCAGUGAGUUCGAAACUUGACGAGGAUUCAUAUUCAGUAGCAAUGGUAUUUUUAGAAAUCUUUCAUAGAGCUUAAGGGGUACGAGAAACAAUCGAAUACUCUACUCCUUUUUCGCUUAGAUUAUCUGAGUGUGGAAAACCAAAAGAUUGCUCCAAAUCUUUUGACUUAGGCUUCGUGAUUUCCGGCUCAAUAUUUUCCUUAUUAAAUUUGGUAACCAUAAUUUGCGCGUGACUCAGAGAGGCAGAGAUUCUGGAAUUAGCUUCCACUUUAUCUUUUCCUUCCUUAUUUCCAUCAAAAUUCUUCUUCAAAAGGUCCGAGGCCCUAGUAAUAUUCUAUUCCAAAGAGAUACCCAAAUUAAAUGGUGAUUUACCUCCUAAUUCAGCCUCUAUCUCAUUACUUUCGUUAUUUCCUAAAUAAAUUUCCUUCUGUCCAUCAGCACUAUCCUCGCCUAAAUUUAUGGCACCCUUGACAAUAUUGUCACUUUCAUUGACUAAACUUUCCUUAAUAAUAGUCGUAUGAUUUAGAUCCAAUAUUUCAUCCUCUGUUUCCAUAUCUUGAUCCAAGUUUAAAAUUUCGAACCUUGACCCAUGGUUAGCACCCUCUUUGUUCACCUCGUUACCAACACAACUACUCUCACCUGUUUUUUGGUUAACUUCCUUUCCAUUCUUUUUCCUCGUAGUGACUGGGCCUUCCCCUUUAGACUUUGGUUCAUUUGAGUCUUUAUUUGGAGCAUCUCCUUUGUUUCCAGAAACAUAUUUCCUUGUGGUUCAUUGGACAAGCAUCCAUGAUCCAAACUGAUCAUUUUCCUUCGGCCUUGACUUAGGUAGUUGCGGCUGCACUAGAGCAUCUACUCUUCGUAGAGUUCUUCCUCCAUCUUCAUCUAGAACAAUAUCCAGAAAGAAAUCACUCUCCUUAAUUAUGACCAAGAUGACCACAUUUAAAACAUAUUUGCUUCAAAGCUUCAUAUUGGAUGCGCUAAGCAGUGGCGAAGCCACGUUAGGACAAGGGGGAUAGCUGUCCCCCCAUUUAAAAAAAAAAAAUCAGCUUUAUUUAAAAAAAUAAAAAAAAAGAAUGUUGAAACAAAGCAAACACGUGACUUGUGAGAAAACAAAACAAAACACAAAACACCAAACCCACAAAGUUUCUAGGCUUGUCCCCCACUAAAGCCAAGAGUUCUCGAUUUUCUAUUCCGACCUCUGGCAGUCGAGACCAGACCUCCGGCGAGGCGGCAACAAGACCUCCGACGGGCAAUGACCAGACCUUUGGUAGUUCGGUUGUUCCUGCUUCCUUCACUUUCCCAAAAUCCCCAAUUCAAUUUUAAAGACAUGUCACAACUCAAUCUUCGACAAUUUAUGUCUAAAAGAAUAAAAUCCCUAGAUAUACCCCCUUCAUUUAGUUCUCCCCAAACUCAGGAAGAUGAUAUGGAAAUUGGUGGUUCAAAUGCUAGUAAUGUAGUACCAGAGGCGGAGGCGGAGGCAAAGGAUGAAGAUUUGGUAUAUGAUGUGGACUUCUUCAUCAUGAUCCCGGAAAAAGAAUGAAUAUCAUGGAUUAUCCCCCUAAUCAAAGAAAUGAGGUAAGAAGAGGUUACAUUCUCAAACAACCUUGUCAACCAAAAACCCAUGAUUUUCCUAAAAGACAAGUGUUUGGAUUGCGUCGUUUUAGUGUCAAUUGGUUAUUAAAGCUUUGUCUCUUAAAGAUGCAAUUUUGUCUUUACUUGUGGAACACUCAUUAAGUCCAUCUAUGACAAGAGGACAAGGGUAUGAUGGGGCUAGCAACAUGAAGGGUGAAGUAAAUAGUCUUAAGACUUUGAUUAUGAAUGAUACUCCAAGAGCCUACUACAAUCAUUGUUUUGCUCACCAACUUCAACUAACAUUAGUAGCUGUUGCUAAAAAAAUGAUUGUUGUGGUUGGCCUUUUGAGGUACUUUCAAACUUGUUGAAUGUGAUUGGAGUGUCAAGUAAGAGAAGAGAAAUGAUUCAUGAAACUCAAGCUCAAGAGGUUGCUCAAGCAUUGGAUUUGGAGGAAAUUGCUCAAGAGGCCCAGGGACACUCGUUGGGGAUCUCAUUACAAGUCCCUUAUAAAUAUCAUCCGCUUGUUUCCUACAAUUAUUAAGGUGCUUGUGCGCAUUGGGAAGCAUGGUGCAUCAGAAGAUAAGUUCAAAGCUCAAAUUGUUUUAGGACAAUUAGAGUAAUUUGAUUUUAUUUUUGUGGCGCACUGGAUGAUGUUGUCCAUUUUUGGGUAUACUAAUGAUUUGUGUGUUGCUUUGCAAAGAAAGGAGCAAGAUAUUGUACAUGCCAUGGAACUUGUUAAAUUAACAAAAAAUGUGUUACAAAAAAUGAGGGAGUAAGGGUGGGAGACUCUCUUAAACAAGGCUAUUUUAUUCUGCACUAAACAUGGCAUUGAUGUUUCUAAUAUGGAUGCUCCUUAUGUUCCUCAAGGAAGAUCAAGGCGUUUUGUUGAAGAAGCAACAAAUCUACAUUAUUAUCAAGUUGGAAUUUUUUUAGGAGUGAUUGAUUUGCAUCUUCAAGAGCUUGAUAAUCGAUUUAACGAGAGAAGAAUGGAGUUACUUACAUGCAGGGCUUGCCUAAGUCCUAAAGAUAACUUCUCAUCUUUUGACAAAGAAAAGGUACCCAAACUUGCUUCUUUUUAUCCCGAAGAAUUUUCAACUUUUGAUUUGAUGACUCUUGAAAAUCAACUUGAUGUAUUCAUGGAAAAUAUGCUAAAUGAUGAAAGAUUUCAUAAUUUGCAUGAUCUUACCUCUCUUUCCAUGAUGCUUGUUAAAACUAAGAGGCAUAAGAGUUAUCCUCUUAUAAAUUGGCUUAUCAAGUUGAUGUUGCUUCUUCCCGUUGCUACGACAAGUGUUGAAAGAGUGUUUUCCGCAAUGACUUAUGUUAAGAGUAAGUUGCGAAAUAGAAUGGGUGAUCAACUUAUGAAUGAUUGUUUGGUAGCUUUUAUUGAGAAGGAAGUGUUCCUACAAGUUACUGAUGAAGACAUCAUUGAUCACUUUCAUGAAGACUCGAAGAAUGCAAUUGUAACUUUAAUUUAAAGUUUAUGUAAUCUUUUUUUUUUUCAUUUUUUUUGGAUUGUAUGACUAUGUUGUUUGGAUUUUUGAGUUGUAAAACUUUGACUAUUAAAUUAUCUAUGAGCUUAAGUAAUUAUUUUUUUUUCCAA